rnacentral:rRNA from 1 species
AUUGAACGCUGGCGGCAUGCUUUACACAUGCAAGUCGAACGGCAGCGGGGGCUUCGGCCUGCCGGCGAGUGGCGAACGGGUGAGUAAUGCAUCGGAACGUGCCCAGUCAUGGGGGAUAACUACGCGAAAGCGUAGCUAAUACCGCAUACGCCCUGAGGGGGAAAGUGGGGGAUCUUCGGACCUCACGUGAUUGGAGCGGCCGAUGUCAGAUUAGCUAGUUGGUGAGGUAAAGGCUCACCAAGGCGACGAUCUGUAGCGGGUCUGAGAGGAUGAUCCGCCACACUGGGACUGAGACACGGCCCAGACUCCUACGGGAGGCAGCAGUGGGGAAUUUUGGACAAUGGGGGCAACCCUGAUCCAGCCAUGCCGCGUGAGUGAAGAAGG